CCUACGGGAGGCAGCAGUAGGGAAUCUUCCGCAAUGGACGAAAGUCUGACGGAGCAACGCCGCGUGAGUGAAGAAGGUUUUCGGAUCGUAAAACUCUGUUGUCAGGGAAGAACAAGUACGGGAGUAACUGCCCGUACCUUGACGGUACCUGGCCAGAAAGCCACGGCUAACUACGUGCCAGCAGCCGCGGUAAUACGUAGGUGGCAAGCGUUGUCCGGAAUUAUUGGGCGUAAAGCGCGCGCAGGCGGCCUUUUAAGUCUGAUGUGAAAGCCCCCGGCUCAACCGGGGAGGGUCAUUGGAAACUGGAAGGCUUGAGUGCAGAAGAGAAGAGCGGAAUUCCACGUGUAGCGGUGAAAUGCGUAGAGAUGUGGAGGAACACCAGUGGCGAAGGCGGCUCUUUGGUCUGUAACUGACGCUGAGGCGCGAAAGCGUGGGGAGCAAACAGGAUUAGAUACCCUGGUAGUCCACGCCGUAAACGAUGAGUGCUAAGUGUUGGGGGGUUUUCCGCCCCUCAGUGCUGCNGCUAACGACAUAAGUACACUCCGCCGUCGGGGAGGGUACGGGCCGGCCGAACGGAACGUGUAAACGUUAAACUUAAAGUAAAGUUAGUUACGGCGUUGAGACGNGCCGACGGACGACGACGAGGGAGGAGG
rnacentral:rRNA from 1 species